AUAGAUACCCCGGUAGUCCACGCCGUAAACGAUAGAGUGCUAAGUGUUAGAGGGGUUUCCGCCCUUUAGUGCUGCAGCUAACGCAUUAAGCACUCCGCCUGGGGAGUACGGCCGCAAGGCUGAAACUCAAAGGAAUUGACGGGGGCCCGCACAAGCGGUGGAGCAUGUGGUUUAAUUCGAAGCAACGCGAAGAACCUUACCAGGUCUUGACAUCCUCUGCCAACCCUAGAGAUAGGGCGUUCCCCUUCGGGGGACAGAGUGACAGGUGGUGCAUGGUUGUCGUCAGCUCGUGUCGUGAGAUGUUGGGUUAAGUCCCGCAACGAGCGCAACCCUUGAUCUUAGUUGCCAGCAUUCAGUUGGGCACUCUAAGGUGACUGCCGGUGACAAACCGGAGGAAGGUGGGGAUGACGUCAAAUCAUCAUGCCCCUUAUGACCUGGGCUACACACGUGCUACAAUGGAUGGUACAAAGAGCUGCGAACCCGCGAGGGUAAGCGAAUCUCAUAAAGCCAUUCUCAGUUCGGAUUGUAGG
rnacentral:rRNA from 1 species